rnacentral:misc_RNA from 1 species
UUUCCGUAGGUGAACCUGCGGAAGGAUCAUUAAAAAAUUGGUGACUGUAAUUUGGUUAACCCAUUAAUAAUAUCCUACCCUUUGUGAAUUUGUUUGUUAUGUAAAAUUUUUUGUCUAUCCCUAAGAAAGGUUGGAUAAGUGUAAUAGCUUAAAAAACUUUUUUUUAGGGAAUGGUUAAAGACUUUUAUUUAAAAUUAAACUUUUUGUAUUCAUUUGUCUAAAAUAAUUUUUAAAUAAAUAAUUUAAAAACAACUUUUGACAAUGGAUCUCUUGGUUCUCGCAACGAUGAAGAACGCAGCAAAAUGCGAUAAGUAAUGUGAAUUGCAGAAUACGUGAAUCAUCAAAUCUUCGAACGCAUAUUGCACUUUUUUAGUUUACUAAAAAAGUAUGUCUGUUUGAGUAUCAGUAAAAUAUUCUCAUAAAAUCAUUGAUUUUAUGGUUAUGAGUGUUUUACAACGAUAAACAAGUUGUUUCACUUUAAAUGAUUUUAAUUGAAAUCGUCGGUUGGGAACGAUUUAAUUUUUUUUAAAAAAUUGGAUAAAAUUUUCCGUAAAAAGGAAUAAGCUAUUUCAGUUUUUAGAAAUUUAUAGUUUCCAUACCGUACAGUAAAAGGAAAUUUAUUUAAAUAACUUGAUCUCAAAUCAGAUAAGAGUACCCGCUGAACUUAAGCAUAUCAAUAAGCGGAGGAAAAGAAACUAACAAGGAUUCCCUAGUAACGGCGAGUGAAGCGGGAAGAGCUCAAAUUUGAAAUCUUCAAGGUUUCACCUUGACGAAUUGUAGUUUAAAGAAGCGUUUUCUGUUAGAGGAGUGGCAAAAGUUCUUUGGAAUAGGACAUCAUAGAGGGUGAGAAUCCCGUAUUUGGUCAUUCUUUCUAGUGUGUGAUACACUUUCAAAGAGUCGGAUUGUUUGGGAAUGCAGUCCAAAAUGGGUGGUAAAUUUCAUCUAAAAGCUAAAUAUUGGCGAGAGACCGAUAGCGAACAAGUACCGUGAGGGAAAGAUGAAAAGAACUUUGAAAAGAGAGUUAAACAGUACGUGAAAUUGUCAAAAGGGAAGCGUUUGACACCAGUGUUGUUUUUCCGAAAAUCAAUUGUGCCUGGCUGGAUUUUGUAGGAGUUUGACUUAUCAGCUUCUUCUGCUUUUUUCCGGUCUGUGCAAUGCACUUUUCGGUUAACAAGUCAACAUCAAUUUCUUUUGUUGUAAAAGGGUAAUUGGAAGGUGGCUUUUCUUUUCGGAGAAGUGUUUAUAGCCUUUACCUCUACAUCGGAGAGAUUGAGGUCUGCAGCGUAGAUCCUUCGGGGUUAGAUACAUUUGUGCUAAGUUAUAGCCCUGUAUAGACAACUUGUUGACUAUACUCGGUCAUGUAGCUUACUCGCUUAUGCUAUUU